UGAAGAUCAGAAAAAAGGAAGAAAACUAAUGUUACUAAAUUAUUUCACACUCUGCUUUCCAUAUCCUACCAGGAGGCUUCAAUCUUUAUUGUGACAGCCAUUAAAUUUAUACCAAUACAUGGAAGUAAGUUAUCUGUGAAAAACAUUUCUUCAGUUACAUUUUGUCUUCUUGCCUCCACUAAUAUAAAAGGCCUCUCUCCAGAAGGGCAGCUGGAAUUUUACAUGGUGACUCCAGGCUCCAGAAGACUCAGAAGAAGAUCCCCAGGAGACCAACAAAAUGUCUGCUAAUUUUUCUCUACCUAACAGCAGUCUUCUUCUGGGCCAUCACCUACCUUCUCAGCCUCCUCCACAAAGGCAGAGACAGCAGAUUUCCUCAGUGAACUUCUUCUACUUAUUAAAAAAAAGUAACUGUAAAGCAGCCUCAAGGAGGUCCUUCAGGAGGCAUUCUGGAAGAAAGCAUUAUUGUCAUAGGUGAUGACAGCUCCAUGCAUGUGAUUUCCCCCAAAGACCUUCCAGUGGGACAAGACACAGUGGCAGAAGACAGCAAUUUUAAUGAAGCUAAUCUUGUGAAGGCCUAGGAUAAUGGCCCUGCCUGUGGAUAGUCACCAGUCAACAUUGGCAUCUCAAGGACAAGUUUGCCAAGAUUAGAAGUGCUUAUAUUUUGGGAACACGCUGGCCACUUGCACAUCAGAGAUCUCUGCUAUUAGAGAAAUUAUUUGGGAAUCCCUAGAAUGUUUGUAUGCUAGGCUAUUUCUUUUUGUGUUUAAAAUAUAUGGAACUUUCAAUGGAAGACUUUAAAAAUUACUCUUGUUUUGCCUAUGGCAUAAUACACAGAUAUAGUAAUUUUUAAAACCUUUGGUAAAUAAAGUAAAAAUUAUAAGGAAAACU
rnacentral:lncRNA from 1 species